UACGUAGGGGGCAAGCGUUGUCCGGAUUUAUUGGGCGUAAAGGGCGUGUAGGCGGUUUGGUAGUUCCGUUGUGAAAACUCGAGGCUCAACCUCGAGACGCCGAUGGAAACCAUCAGACUAGAGUCCGGAAGAGGAGAGUGGAAUUCCUGGUGUAGCGGUGAAAUGCGCAGAUAUCAGGAAGAACACCCGUGGCUAAGGCGGCUCUCUAGUACGGUACUGACGCUGAGACGCGAAAGCGUGGGGAGCGAACAGG
rnacentral:rRNA from 1 species